rnacentral:misc_RNA from 1 species
AAGGCGAGAAAACCCAUGAAGAAGAGUUUAUGGGGAACGCGAUGUUGUCCACGCCUCUCAUCUACCAAUCAAAGCUUCUCUGUUUCUCUCUGUUAUACCUCUUCUCCACUCUGUUUUUAGCUCUCUACACCUCUCUCCACCCUACCAAAUGCCUCUUCAGAUCAUCUCCUUUCGAUCCCAUCCAGGUUCCUCUCUUCUCUUACCCUCCCACCUAUGGAGAACACAAGUAUGCCAUUCCCACCAAUCGCAACCAUUGUUCCUCCCCUGUUUAUUUCUCUGAUUAUUGGAUUGCAUUGCAAGAGAUCCAAGAUUUAUGUCGGAAUUCAACUGUAUCUUCCCAGGGUUUGAGGUAUAUGGAAGGAAACGGUGAGAGUUUCGGUGGGAAUUUUAGUAACCAGAAGAGGAUGUCCUAUUUUCAUCAUUUAAAUGAUAGCGUGGAGAUUCCUUGUGGGUUCUUUAAGAAGUUUCCAGUCAGUGAUUCUGAUAGAAUGACAAUGGAGAGCUGUAAUGGAGUAGCUGUAGUCUCGGCAAUCUUCAAUAACCAUGACAAAAUCCGGCAACCAAAAACCCUUGGUUCCAAAACACUAGAUAACGUGUGUUUCUUCAUGUUUGUGGAUGAUAUAACCCUAAAAGAACUAAACCAUCAUCAAUUAAUAUCAAGAGAAUCCUUUCAAUAUAGUGUAGGUGUGUGGAGAAUUCUUAAGGUUUCAAGCACGCACUUGUAUGAAAAUCCAGCCAUGAAUGGAGUAAUACCUAAAUACUUGGUUCAUAGACUUUUUCCAAACUCGAAAUUUAGCAUUUGGAUAGAUGCAAAGCUGCAACUAAUGGUGGAUCCACUAUUGUUGAUCCACACAUUAGUUGUAUCAAAGAAAGUGGACAUGGCGAUAUCGAAACAUCCAUACUUUACACAUACAAUGGAAGAAGCAUUGGCAACUGCAAGGUGGAGGAAAUGGUGGGAUAUUGAUGCUUUGAGGUUACAAAUGGAGACAUAUUGCGAGAAUGGAUUGGAGCCAUGGACACCCACUAAACUCCCCUAUCCUUCAGGUAAACAAGACUCUUAAAUCUUCGUUCUUCAUUGCUUCACAUUAUUUAUGAAUUUCUUUUUCUUUUCUUCUUGUGGCGUUUGAAAGGUAAACAAGUGCUAAAAUGGUUCUUGAUUCCCCUGAACUAAUUUUGGUUUUAACAUGUCAUGAGUCAGCGAUGCACUUGUUUAUGAUUCCUUCUUUCAGUAGGAAAAGGAGAAGGAAAAUUGUUAGGCUUGAUCUUGAAGUUUCAUGGAGUAAUCAUUGCAAUGAUAAUGUUUAAGAAAGAAUCUCCAACAGAUCUUCUCUAGUGGAGGGUCGUUUGAGAAAUAAUUGUGCUUUAAGUGAAUAAUGACUGCGUAGAUAGUUUCCUCAAAGUGAAUUUUCUUCAUCAUUGUCUAUUGAGUCAUGCUAAUAGAACCUGAGAUUAAAAGGUUGCACUAGCUAGUUUUAGGGUCUGUUUAGUAUUACUGUUAAAAUUGUUGUUGAAAAAAUUAGCUUUUUAAAUAUAUUAGUUAGAAAGUAUUAAAAAUUGAUUUUAAAAUUAAAUUUGAUAUGUUUAAGUCAUAAGAAUACCAAAACAACUAAACGGUUUUUCUCAACAGCAGUUAGAAUGAUGCUUUUUCAAAAAAUGCUUUUUUUAACCACCCAACUGCAACCCCAAACAGAUACGUGUCAUGGGACUAGGAGUUUCUUUGAUUAAUUCUAGUGGCAAUAUUCCUCAAGUAUUA